rnacentral:rRNA from 1 species
UACGUAGGGUGCGAGCGUUAAUCGGAAUUACUGGGCGUAAAGCGUGCGCAGGCGGUUCGUUGUGUCGGCGGUGAAAGCCCCGGGCUUAACCUGGGAAUGGCCGUCGAAACUGGCGAACUGGAGUGUGGCAGAGGGGGGUGGAAUUCCGCGUGUAGCAGUGAAAUGCGUAGAGAUGCGGAGGAACACCGAUGGCGAAGGCAGCCCCCUGGGCUAACACUGACGCUCAGCACGAAAGCGUGGGGAGCAAACAGG